rnacentral:lncRNA from 1 species
AGACAGUCUGUAGCAGUUUACUGUGGAGCAUGAAGAUACUGGUUAUUUAUUAAGUAGCUGGAAAGGUAGGGGCAUUUUAAAGGGAAUUAUGUAUAGUCUAAUGAAUUUAUUGGGUAGUUCUAUAGUCCAAACACUUUCAACUUUGGUAUUCCAGCUGUGACUUGAAUAACCAAAGGUGCAGUGAAGAACCUGGCUGUCCAGCCCUGGGAGCAGAACUGAAAACAUGGAGCAAAGGACCCAGAUCUACAUGGAAUCUCAGGGCUUCAUGACUGACAGAAGUAGUCAAAGACACCCAUCGAUCACUCUUAACAAAAGAGGGAAAUCUGCAGCCAUCUUGUAUUGUCCUUCUGAAAAUUAUGCUAUUUUUGUGCAUUCUGAAGGGAAUAAAUGCAAUUUCAUAAAUAAAAUAUUUAACAGUUUCUCUUGUGGUCAUUAAUGGCUUGAUAUUAAAAAAAAUACCUGCUUAGACAGUAAGGUAUUUCCAGUAUCAUUCACUCCCUGUGCCAAAUUUGUGGUUUGUGAUGGAAGCAUACUUUCAAGAAGGUGAACCAGUGAUCUUGGCACAUACCAAUUAUCAUGAUAAUUCAUUUUUGUGAGUGAGAAGGAGCAAUAACAAAAAGCAAACACCGUUCUCUCAACAAAGAAAACCGAUCCAAACCUCUCUUUAUUGAUCCAUUUUAGGAAUCUCUGUAUCAGGCUCAGUGAGUGGACAAGGAGCUGAAGUGUGUAUGGUGUAGAUAGGUGUUUUUAAACACGUAGUUGAAGCAAGAGAGAAUUUAUCCUCUCCUUAUGCAACCUCACGGCAAAUCUGCCAUCCAAUUGUACAGUGCAUUAUCUUCAACAUUCCUUCAAAAGAAGCACAGAAAAUAAAGGAUUUUCACAGCUGGCAAUGUACUAAAAUAUAUUAACUUUCACCAGGAGAAUAUAAUGGAACUGCUGUUUAAGAAAAUACUACAAACUUGUUUAAUUUUCUUAGUUUUUUAAAGUGGAAACUUUCUCCUUAGAUGAUGGAAGAGAAUGGGGGAAAAGAGAAUCAGUAAAUAUUUUCACCCUUCUCAGCUGAAAUAAAUAAUUAUAGUUUUAUCCCUUUCAGGUUUCCGAUAUACAGAUUUCAGAGUUGAUUACAGCCUUCAGGAACAAUCUUUGCCUUCUAAAUUGAAGUAUUCCAGGUUUUCUUUAAUUAACAACUACUUAUAUAGUACAUCACAGGCUUAGUGCCUACUCACAAGCCACAUUUCUCAUAGAUCUGUUAUUGCACAAAAAUGAGUGUAAGAGGCCUUCUGUAUUAAUAGUUUAUGAAGAUACCUCAAUUACAGCUGACCAUACAGUAUUCUUGCUAUGUUCUUCUCCCAAGCCUCUCUCUGGAGUCUCUUUUUCUGGAGGGCCAAAGCUUCCUGAAGUGAUAAUACAAUCUCCUGAACAAUAACAAUUUGGACUUGGUGUGGGGCAGCAUCAUUUUGAGAAAUAGCUGUAAGAAGUGCUUAGGCAACCCAAUUUGUACAGAGCAUCAACUAAUUAAAGUAGAAACUCUGGCUUUCUUUUCCCCUUAAGGUAACAAAGUUUUAGAUCUAAAGAAACAAAACAAACAAACAAAACAGCAACAAAAACACACACAGGAAGGAUAGCCUGUAUUAGACAUCAGUUCAAAGAGGAAUAAAUGAAAAAAAGUCUGAUUUAUCCACAGGAAACUGCCCAGGAUCAAGGUUUUCCGUCACCUACUUUAUUCCCAUUUUCUUUUCUCCUAAUCAGUCUCACUGCAUGUUACUGACAAUGAACUAACAAGAUGAACUUCCUGGAGCAAGGUGCUGCUACAGUUCAGUCCAGUACAGAAGCACUUUCCUUCCUCUGUCCUUCCUCCUUUCUUCUCUUCAGUCUCAUGAUAUUUGUGUUACCUUCUGAAUCCCAAGUUCUUACUCACUUGCCAAUAAUUUCUGCCCACAUGCAGCCAUAAGACAAAACAUUAGUGCAAUAUGAAAGAACAAGCUGUCAGAUAACCCAAGGUAGAAUCAAAAAAGAAGCAGAGAAGGAGGUAUUUCUAUAUCUGUAUAGCUGAUUGACAAGUCCUGUGGAAGGACAUGUGCAUGCCUUUACCAUUUUAAAAAAGUAAUCAUGCUUGCUGAAAGCAUCAGCCUUAGGAAGAAUCAUAGAAUCACAAGGUUGGAAAUUACCUGCAAGAUCAUCUAGUCCAACUGUCCUCCCAUUACCACUGCUACCACAAGCACUAAGCCAUAUCUCGCAGCUCCUUGUACAGACACCUCUUGAACACUGCCAGGGCCGGUGACUCCACCACCUCCCUGGGCAGGCCAUUCCAGUGCCUGACCACUCUAUGAGAGAAAAAGUUCUUCCUUAUGUCUAACCUAAACCUCCUCUGGUACAACUUGUGGCCAUUUCCUCGGGUCCUGUUUGUUGCCUGGGAGAAGAAGCUAAACCCCUCCUCAUCACAACCUCCCUUCAGGAAGUUGUAGAGUGCAAUAAGGUCUCCCCUGAGCCUCCUGUUCUCCAGACUAAACAAUCCCAGCUCCCUCAGCCACUCCUCAUAAGACUUGUGCUCCAGACCCCUCACCAGUUUCGUUGCCCUUCUCUAGACAUGUUCCAAAGCCUCAAUGUCUUUCUUGUAGUGAGGGGCCCAAAAUGAACACAAUACUCAAAGUGCUGGCCUCACCAGUACUGAGUACAGAGGGAUGAUUACCUCCCUGCUCCUGCUGGCCACACUAUUUCUAAUGUAGAAACCCAUAACUUGAAGGAAUUAGUGCUCUUGUAAUGCUCAGCAGCUGACUUGUAUUAUUUUAGAUAAAAAUGGCUGAGAACUGAUGGAUACUUAUUCCAUAGACACCAGCAUUUUCUUCACAGAAUAUCUGCUUUCUUCUGUACUAUCUUCUGUUUUGCAUAAUACCAUAUGAAAGUCAUUUCUAGAGUUUGGAGCUUUUUGAAGGUUCACAAGAAAAAGCAGAGGGAGAAGAGCUGUGCCCUGGGCGAUGCAGUUUUAACAUUGUCCUAGUGGAUAAUCACAAGAGGUCUUCUAUUACAAGACUGCAUAGAAAGAAAGCACUGUAAAUCCUACCCACAACCCAGGACAAUAAGAAACGUUAAAAAAAACAACAACAACAAAACAACAAUAACAGUACAGGCUUUCCUGACAAAGUCAUAGUUAACAGCUUAAUGGAAGCUAGUAGACAAGAUUUGCUCUUUAUGAAAGGAGUAUGAGGCACACAGCAGUUUGAAAUGUGCAUAAAUUAGCUCCUCCUAUCUUGCAGGAAGAACUGCAUCUUCCUAAAAUGCUAAAAGCAAGUAGAUUAAAUGAACUCCUACCUUGGAGAGCCUGGAGUGUACGAGUCUGUACAACAAUACAGAGCUGCAGGACCAGCUGUGGAGCACUUUCCAGAAACGUGGCUAGCAAAUGCAGCAUACUCACAUCUGCAUACUCAUACACCAUUUUCCAAUAAAACCGCCAUCUGUCAUUCUCUCCACUCUGUCGACUCCGGAUACCCAAGUAUAUAGUGUGGAAAUACCUGGAAAUAAAAGAGAUAAAUUAUAGAAACGCAGAAUGAUAUUUUACAGGUAACAGUUUUCUCAAAAAUAACCUAUAUUUAGUUAUUUUACUC